rnacentral:rRNA from 1 species
GUGGGGAAUCUUGCGCAAUGGGCGAAAGCCUGACGCAGCCAUGCCGCGUGAAUGAUGAAGGUCUUAGGAUUGUAAAAUUCUUUCACCGGGGACGAUAAUGACGGUACCCGGAGAAGAAGCUCCGGCUAACUUCGUGCCAGCAGCCGCGGUAAUACGGAGGGGGCUAGCGUUGUUCGGAAUUACUGGGCGUAAAGCGCGCGUAGGCGGACCAGAAAGUUGGAGGUGAAAUCCCAGGGCUCAACCUUGGAAUUGCCUUUGAUACUGGCUGUCUUGAGUUUGGGAGAGGUGAGUGGAACUCCGAGUGUAGAGGUGAAAUUCGUAGAUAUUCGGAAGAACACCAGUGGCGAAGGCGACUCACUGGCCCAAUACUGACGCUGAGGCGCGAAAGCGUGGGGAGCAAACAGGAUUAGAAACCCGAGUAGUCC